rnacentral:rRNA from 1 species
CCUACGGGUGGCAGCAGUGGGGAAUAUUGGGCAAUGGGCGCAAGCCUGACCCAGCAACGCCGCGUGAAGGAAGAAGGCUUUCGGCUCGUAAAGCUCUGUUGUUGGAGAAGAACGUGCGUGAGAGUAACUGUUCACGCAGUGACGGUAUCCAACCAGAAAGUCACGGCUAACUACGUGCCAGCAGCCGCGGUAAUACGUAGGUGGCAAGCGUUAUCCGGAUUUAUUGGGCGUAAAGCGAGCGCAGGCGGUUGCUUAGGUCUGAUGUGAAAGCCUUCGGCUUAACCGAAGAAGUGCAUCGGAAACCGGGCGACUUGAGUGCAGAAGAGGACAGUGGAACUCCAUGUGUAGCGGUGGAAUGCGUAGAUAUAUGGAAGAACACCAGUGGCGAAGGCGGCUGUCUGGUCUGCAACUGACGCUGAGGCUCGAAAGCAUGGGUAGCGAACAGGAUUAGAUACCCGAGUAGUC